ensembl:lncRNA
UACAGAAUGUAGGUAAAAGGAACAGCUAUGAAACAGGUUACCACACCUGCCCAUUAAAUUUUUACAAAUAUUUACUGAGUAUCUUCUAUGAGGAAAGCAUUGUGAUUAGAGGAUCAGAAACUCUCCCACCUUAAUCUUACUUGAAGGGCAGAUCUUUCUUAUCUAGAAACCACAGAGCCUGAGAUCUCUGCUUCUGAAAAUCGAUCUGUUGGAGCUGAACUUGCUUUGCUUAGUGACAUCUGCUGUCCCUGACUCUUCAGUGUGCCUUCAGCAUCACAGGGUCCUACAGUCCAUUGCUGUGUCCCUGCUCUCCUCCUUGGAUGAGAAAAUUAGGCAACCUGUGUUCAUUAUUCUCUUGAUUGACUUCAAUUGUAUCUCUGUGUAUUCCAGAAAAUGCUUAUAUGGAAAUGAUCUCUGUGAAUAGUGUGAAGUGGGCUUCCCUGGUGGCUCAAAUGGUAAAAAAUCUGCCUAUAAUGUGGGAGAGGAAGAUCCACAGGAGAAGGGAAUGGCAACCAACUCCAGUAUUCUUUCCUGGACAACUCCAUGGACAGAGGAUCCUGAACACUGCUUUAUCACUGCAAUUCAUUGCCUCUUCAUGGAGUUACUAGAAGAUGCAGCAUAUUUAUAG